AUAAGGCUGGUCGAGCUACAAAAUAAGGCUUGGGCUACUCUUUUCUUCCUAGGUGUUAAUAAGUAAAGGUUUCCUAUGUUUCCUCUAAGUAGUAUUUGUUUCAGAAUCAAUCAUAGGUAGCUGCCAGUUUAUAGGUCCAGUGUUCGUUCAUCCGAUACUAUAGGGUGUGUUGCGUGCCGGUGUUCAAUGGAUACGCGGGUAUGUUGUCG
rnacentral:lncRNA from 1 species